rnacentral:rRNA from 1 species
UUUUUUUUCCUUAGAUUGACGCUGGCGGCAGGCCUAACACAUGCAAGUCGAACGGUAACAGGAAGCAGCUUGCUGCUUCGCUGACGAGUGGCGGACGGGUGAGUAAUGUCUGGGAAACUGCCUGAUGGAGGGGGAUAACUACUGGAAACGGUAGCUAAUACCGCAUAACGUCGCAAGACCAAAGAGGGGGACCUUCGGGCCUCUUGCCAUCGGAUGUGCCCAGAUGGGAUUAGCUAGUAGGUGGGGUAACGGCUCACCUAGGCGACGAUCCCUAGCUGGUCUGAGAGGAUGACCAGCCACACUGGAACUGAGACACGGUCCAGACUCCUACGGGAGGCAGCAGUGGGGAAUAUUGCACAAUGGGCGCAAGCCUGAUGCAGCCAUGCCGCGUGUAUGAAGAAGGCCUUCGGGUUGUAAAGUACUUUCAGCGGGGAGGAAGGGAGUAAAGUUAAUACCUUUGCUCAUUGACGUUACCCGCAGAAGAAGCACCGGCUAACUCCGUGCCAGCAGCCGCGGUAAUACGGAGGGUGCAAGCGUUAAUCGGAAUUACUGGGCGUAAAGCGCACGCAGGCGGUUUGUUAAGUCAGAUGUGAAAUCCCCGGGCUCAACCUGGGAACUGCAUCUGAUACUGGCAAGCUUGAGUCUCGUAGAGGGGGGUAGAAUUCCAGGUGUAGCGGUGAAAUGCGUAGAGAUCUGGAGGAAUACCGGUGGCGAAGGCGGCCCCCUGGACGAAGACUGACGCUCAGGUGCGAAAGCGUGGGGAGCAAACAGGAUUAGAUACCCUGGUAGUCCACGCCGUAAACGAUGUCGACUUGGAGGUUGUGCCCUUGAGGCGUGGCUUCCGGAGCUAACGCGUUAAGUCGACCGCCUGGGGAGUACGGCCGCAAGGUUAAAACUCAAAUGAAUUGACGGGGGCCCGCACAAGCGGUGGAGCAUGUGGUUUAAUUCGAUGCAACGCGAAGAACCUUACCUGGUCUUGACAUCCACGGAAGUUUUCAGAGAUGAGAAUGUGCCUUCGGGAACCGUGAGACAGGUGCUGCAUGGCUGUCGUCAGCUCGUGUUGUGAAAUGUUGGGUUAAGUCCCGCAACGAGCGCAACCCUUAUCCUUUGUUGCCAGCGGUCCGGCCGGGAACUCAAAGGAGACUGCCAGUGAUAAACUGGAGGAAGGUGGGGAUGACGUCAAGUCAUCAUGGCCCUUACGACCAGGGCUACACACGUGCUACAAUGGCGCAUACAAAGAGAAGCGACCUCGCGAGAGCAAGCGGACCUCAUAAAGUGCGUCGUAGUCCGGAUUGGAGUCUGCAACUCGACUCCAUGAAGUCGGAAUCGCUAGUAAUCGUGGAUCAGAAUGCCACGGUGAAUACGUUCCCGGGCCUUGUACACACCGCCCGUCACACCAUGGGAGUGGGUUGCAAAAGAAGUAGGUAGCUUAACCUUCGGGAGGGCGCUUACCACUUUGUGAUUCAUGACUGGGGUGAAUCGCAAGGGGGGACCCAAAAAAACUCCUUUCCACACAAUUUCUUCCCCAAUACUCUACCCCUUUUUCUCACCACUUCCCCUAAUCCACCGGCGGUUUUCCCCGCGUUUUGCCCACCU